rnacentral:rRNA from 1 species
AGCAGCCGCGGUAAUUCCAGCUCCAAUAGCGUAUAUUAAAGUUGUUGCAGUUAAAAAGCUCGUAGUUGAAUUUCGGGGUUAGUAGAUUGGUCAUGCCUCUGGUAUGUACUGGUCUCACUGAUUCCUCCUUCCUGAUGAAUCUUAAUGCCAUUAAUUUGGUGUUUUGGGGAAUUUGGACUGUUACUUUGAAAAAACUAGAGUGUUUAAAGCAAGCUAACGCUUGAAUACAUUAGCAUGGAAUAAUGAAAUAGGACGUUCGAUCCUAUUUUGUUGGUUUCUAGGAUUGACGUAAUGAUUAAUAGGGAUAGUUGGGGGCAUUAGUAUUCAAUUGUCAGAGGUGAAAUUCUUGGAUUUAUUGAGGACUAACUACUGCGAAAGCAUUUGCCAAGGAUGUUUUCAUUAAUCAAGAACGAAAGUUAGGGGAUCGAAGACGAUCAGAUACCGUCGUAGUCUUAACCAUAAACUAUGCCGACUAGGGAUCGGAUGAUGUUAAUUUUUUAAUGACUCAUUCGGCGCCUUACGG